CAUUUGUUUUCUAAUUGCUUGAAAUUUGGUAAUUUCCUUAGUGUUUUCCUGGCCGACCUGUGCUGGUAUUGUAAUUAAGAGCUAAUACACCAUUCUCUGGUGAACUGCAGCUGCGGCCGAAUUUGAUUGUGUGCAUCAUCCUGCAGAUAUUUUGAAAUUUUGUGGACGCUUCUGUUGUGCUGCGUUCCUGCUCCGCCCGUGUUUUAUAGUGUUGCGUCCCUGUUGCGCCUUUGC